rnacentral:rRNA from 1 species
GAUGAACGCUAGCGGGAGGCUUAACACAUGCAAGUCGAGCGGGAAGGGUAGCAAUACCCUGAGAGCGGCGCACGGGUGCGUAACGCGUAUGUAACCUGCCUUAUACAGGGGGAUAGCCCAUGGAAACGUGGAUUAACACCCCAUAGGACUGGAAUUUCGCAUGGGAAUUCAGUUAAAAUUACGGUGGUACAAGAUGGGCAUGCGUCUGAUUAGGUAGUUGGUAGGGUAACGGCCUACCAAGCCGACGAUCAGUAGGGGUUCUGAGAGGAUUACCCCCCCACACUGGUACUGAGACACGGCCCAGACUCCUACGGGAGGCAGCAGUGGGGAAUUUUGGACAAUGGGGGGCAACCCUGAUCCAGCCAUGCCGCGUGAGUGAAGAAGGCCU